ensembl:lncRNA
GGAGGGGCGGAGGAAAAAGGCAAAUCCGUACAGAUUAUUAUUCAUGGGGAGGGAUUGGCCUUUUCAGGACUCCUUUAUUGGCCGGUUCGUUUUCCAACACGUCAUCCUCUCUAUCAGCGGCUGACAAGUGCCAAUCAAAGGGCCUGGAUGAAUCCAGGUUUGAAAAAGGGCAAGGAGGGAGAGAAAACGAUGGUGGAUUUCGGAGGAGACAAUGGCCGCUGAGCCCACAGUAGCAGUGGUUUAGAGACAAUGGUGACACAGCUACAUUGUCAGUGUGUGGUCCUCUGGGGGAGGGGGGGACACCAUUCUGCUUGGAACACGACUAAUCUCUGCUCCAGUGUCUUUCCCUUCUUUUUCACCGGCCAUAAUCUGUCCAGCUAGUGGCUCCCCGAAGCCUUCCGGAACAAUCUACCAUGGUCAGUCCAGAUUAGUCCUCUUUGUGGCCCCGCCUCAUAACAAUAUUCACUUAGGGCACUGACGUCUUCAGUAACAGCUGAAUGCUAAACUCUGGGGUAAACACAGGAGUGAUGGGGCCGAAUUGAAACAGUCAUGAAACAAUUAUGAAGGGGAUUAUAGUACCUAUGAAUUAGUUAUGACAGAGAGAGAGGGACAAAGACCUUAUCAGAGAGCUCACUGGGGACAGACCACAUAGCUUACUGACUUAUCUUAUUGCAUGAUGUUUCUGACGGGGUAAGUCGUUGGCCUAAGUGGCAUUGGCCUGUAUUCUACCUAUUGGUUCAUGCACAGGUGGAGUUUGUUUGGAACAAGCCACAUUAUAAAGCUAUGAAACUGUUAUAACAAAAAACUGAUAACGACGACAACAGGGUCUGUAUUUCACAUUUGUCGUAUAUUCUUUAUUUGGAUACAUACUUUUAGGUCAAAGUCCAUUGGAUUCGUAAAUUCAUACUGGAACGCCAUGCUGUCACUCUACAAUGCUGUCCCCACAGUGUCACAUUGAGUCCUAACAGUUUCACUCUAUGGACUACUUAGGGAGCUCUAUUGAGAGUUUUAACUGUGCCGUUCCUCCGCUUGGAAACCCAAUCUCACCUAACCUAUGGCCACACAAAGCCAUCCCACACACUGGGCACCUCUCAAAGGCUCGCUGAACCCGGGGCUGACCCCUCAGCGCCCUCCCCAUGACCCUCUCCUGGGCUCUGACCAUGUCUUUGGCCUCCCAGAGGUCAUUGUGCACGAGCACACAGACCAUCACCAAGGAUACCUGGGAGGAUCUUUUUUUAUGUGACAAGUUUGUUCUCGCAGAGCUGCAGUAAAUAAGACCGUCUUUUGGGGUUACGGGAUGUUUAGGUCUCCACCACAACAAACGGCUGUCUUAUGUCCAAUGAGCAUUAUGAGCGUUCCAUUGCAGGCGUGUAAAAUAGAGGUAAUAAUACAGUGGGAAAACUUUACUAUCCCACAUUAAGACAUCUCACUAAAAUGUCACUCACCCCUGUCAUUUAAGGAGGUAAGGGCCUGGCUGGUUUGGUCACUUCCCUCGGACUCCUCCCCAUCUGUAAGUUAACAUAGAUGUAGUCAUGUGACACAGCUCCUGGUAUCUGACCAGGGAGUGUAACCCACCAGUCAUGGUGUCCUGACAUCAGACAACAAGCAGUGGAGCCAAGAGGACAUGUUACAUGUCGCUGUGGCCUUGGUCGUAGUUAACGGCUGAGCACGGUGGCCUUCAUGCACGGCCGCUGAAUCACAGGUAUGACAACUGGGUUUGUAAUGGUGCUGUCGCUGAGCCGCGACACAGCGAGCCAUGGGCCAUUGGUGUCUCCCGACCACUCCUGUCUCAGCCUCCAGUAUUUAUGCUGUAGUAGUUUGUGUGUCGGGGUGCUAUCCGUUGUCCUGUGUGAAUUUAAGUAUGCUCUCUCUUUUUCUCGCUCUCGGGGGACCUGAGCCCUAGGACCAUGCCUCAGGACUACCUGGACUGAUGACUCCUUGCUGUCCCCAGUCCACCUGGCCAUGCUGCUGCUCCAGUUUAAACUGUUUGACCUGCGGCUAUGGAAUCCUGACCUGUUCACCGGACGUGCUACCUGUCCCAGACCUGCUGUUUUCAACUGACAUUUACUCCUGAGUGUACACAAGACGGCCACACAGGAGAGGACCACUCUGCUCGCCAGCCGGCUCUACGGAGGAUUAUCAGGCUUAAGUGUACCGGACGCAGAGAAACACGGCCAAACACAGCGGUGACAGACUCGCAUUGGGAACUGGUGGACCCCGAUAUGAUGCCUGACGGACUGGAAUCACUGAUCCAUGACGACGGUGACCUGGAACCAUCCUCGGUGUGGCACUGCUGAAAACACAAGCAUAAAACCGUGACACGACGAUCACAUUAUUCAGUCUGACCUGUGUUCAAACUACAUUGACCAAUCAAGCAUGACUAUUACAACAAAAAACAAACAAACAUUAUAACCACAUAAUGAGGGACAAAUCCCGUACCAGCACACUAGACUCUAACCCUGUGGUGUAGUAGUGGUCCAUUAUGCAAAUAGCCUAACAUGAAUCAUGCCCCGGGUACUCAGAACGCUUCAUUGUGGUUAGACAUAAUCACAGGGGGCUUAUAAGACACAUUGAGCCUUUCAGAGAGCAGAGGAAGCUCUCUCCUCCAUCAUAAAGAGGAGAUGAAUAGUCUAUCGCGUGGAGCACCUGCAUCCAUUCCACUGCACCCCGGCACUCGCAGUGCUGCGUUUACCCCCUGACCCCUCACCCCUGACCCUGUCUGAUCCAUCCCACCAGCGGCGCAUCCUCCAAAAGAGUCCCCCCUGUAUAGAGCCACAUCUAAGUGUGAGUGAGUGGACCCCCUUUGGAUAGAGCAGUGGGCUGAGUGGAGCGUGGUGUAAAUAGGCUGUCUGCUCUUUCAGUGGUACAGUCACCAGCCUCUCCCUCCGGUGGCCUGUGACUGAUUAACUACACACCUGCUGCACUGCACGCUUCUCUCACUAUUGUUAUAGUGUGUUUCAAUUAUCAACAACAAUUUGGCUGCUUGAUCCGGGAUGGCAGUUACAAAUUCACGCCAGUUCAAGUUUAUACUGUAAAUAGAGGUCUUUGUCUCAGUCAGUGUCUGUGUGUUUGUAUAGUCCGUGUUUAAACAACAAUGUGCAAUAGUCAUUUAAGGAGACGGAUGAAAGCUACAAGGGGGAAUUGUUGUGAGGGGUAGUUUGAGGAGGGGCUACGACACUCACCAUUGUGUGGUCACCCUGUCCCUGGACUUUGCCUGUGGCGACACACCUCUCAGACACACUGUCGUCUCCACAGCUGCCAGCUGUGAGGGGUUGCAGGACGCCUGACAACACACACACACACACACAUCCAUGCAGGCAUGCACACACACCAAUUUGAAGACACAAACUGGAUAGAUAGUCUGUGCGCGUGCCAAUGUGCCCGGUGUACACGCUUGCGUGUGGGUUUUCCUUUGUGUUUGAGUGCGUGCACCGAUAUGAGUAAUGCCAUGUAUUAGUCAAAAGUAUGGUUCCUAAUCUCUCUGCAAACACUGAUAUAAAAAGAGGGGGGGAAAAAACAUGGAGGAGCACCUGUCUCGCAGAAGCAUGCCAGGUGCAAACACAGAAUGGGAAAACAUUGUUCUGGAGACACACCUAAGAGGACAGACAGACAGACGAGCUCCCUGCAGUGUCUACAUCUCCAGGCAGGCCACAGUGAUACGUCAACGAGUGAAGAGGAUUUAGUUUGAUUCAAUGACUGUAUUCAAGGCCAUUGCCAAUUCAGAGGAGAAGCAUCACACUGAGCAUUAGUACUGUCAAUGUCAUGGAAAACAAGUUACACAUCCUUUGUUUGCCUAUAAAACUACAAUAGGACGUGCUUAUUUCCAACUGUUUGCGCAUCGACCACUUACGUUCCUUUUACCACUUUACAGGACGUUUGUUCUACUUUCUAUGCCAUUUCUUGCAUCACCCAGACUGAUAUGCGCAUGCCGCACAGGCAUAAUCACAUCCAGAUUGUGCCAUUGUUAAAAUAGAUAUUUUUAACUAGUUGUCGGUGUGUCUGGGCUCAGGUCUCCAGGUUAAUGAUAAACGCAAGGCGGUUUGAUCUUUAUUAAUAUGGCAUAUCAUAUCCCAAUAAAACGUUUUGCCAAAGCCAGAAAUGAGCCUCCAUAUCUUUAUGGCCUUUCAGUUAAGAUGCUGCAGCAGCAUGCCUGGGAGCAGAUGAGAGGCGGUUCACACUGUAAAGACAUUACUCUCAAGGCCGGCCAACGACUGGCAGGCACACACCCAUAACGCUGCUUGGUAUUCCCCUGUCCAGGCUAUUCUACAGAAUACUCCUCUGUCUGGAUUUUCCCUGUUGUGAAAUCAACGGUUUUGCUGUUUCUAUCAAAGGUCAUAGUUUGGCUCAUUGUAACUGUCAAAAGAAACUGUCGAAGGAGUCUAGUAAUCUAGUAAUCUUACUGAGACAAUGUCUCAAACACAGUGUGUAUAUAAAGACAUGUGUCAGUCCAAUCAUAUUCACUGACUCACAAAUGAAUCACAGACUGGGUUGGGUGUUGAGUUGUAAAUCAGGGAUACCUGUAGUAUACAGCGUUGGACUCAGAGGUCUUCUGGCUCGGAGCGCCGCUGUGUGGCCUUUUGUUCCGUCUUCUGUUGGGGAGUACAUGUCCUGACCAGCGAGCCAGUGGGGCUCCACAGGGUCCGACCGGUCCAGGAGCUGCACACGGGACAGGGAGCCCAGGUCCCCUGAGUCACAGCCCACUGUCAGAGCAGCCAAGCCUGUGGACAUCUCUGCAGAGGUGGCAUACAGUAUACAGGACAACUGAAGCAUUAUGCGAAACAGCAUAUCCAACACAUCAGAACUAAAGCAUUAAAAAGGGACUAUGGGAGUCCAUUGGAUCAGUCCAUCUACUAACUCCUUUUUAAUUGAAUUUUUUUAUAUUUUCUUUGUCAUUUAGCAGACACUCUUAUCCAGAGCAACUUAGAGUAGUGAGUGCAUAGAUUUGUCAUACUGGUCCCAUGUGGGAAUCAAACCCACAGCCCUGGCAUUGCAAGUGCCAUGCUCUACCAACUGAGCCACACAGGACUCAACAAACAAUACAUUAGUCAGGACCAGAGUGACCACCUUCUCUGAUUCCCUACAUUCAGGGGGUUAUCACAGGGAUUCCAUUAGACAUGGAUAACCAGAGAUGGUAUAGGCCAAGGCCAGGGAUAGCCUCUCUGAACCAGAUUAGAGGUAGAGGAAAUAGUCCUGUAUGGAUCAGUGAGGUGUGUGUGCAAAUAUGACUGACAACCCUUAAGCUCCACCCCCCCAGUCCUAGGCUCCAGAGUUCUCUGUCACCGCCAAUUAAAAGGGGAUCAGUAACAGUGUGGGCUCCCUGCCCAUGCAAAUCCUCGGCCCACGCCGUCCAGGCAGAGAGCAGGGUGUGGAGCUGCUGUUCCCUGGGAGGGGAUUUCACACAGCCGCUGGGCUGGAGCUGCCUCAUAACACGCUCUGCUGCAGGUCAACCCUGCUUCUCCUCUCAAUGCACUCUCAGUCCCACCAUCUCAGCCAACCACACAGCAGCCAUAGUGGAAUGCAUUGUGUUUUAUAGCACAUAAAAAGUAUCACAUCUGGAUAGUUUUCUAGUUAAGUACAGUACUGCGUUUUUACAGUAUGCCCUUAGAAAUGAACUUUUAGAGACUUUGAGCGACUUGAAAUGAAUUCCACCUAGAUCAGGGGAAGACAACCCUGUUCCUGGAGUGAUGCAGGUACUGCAGGAUGACGUUCCAACUAGGCACCACACCUGACCAACAGAGCUAAUUACGCAGUUCAAUGAUUGCCUACAUUCAACACACCUGGUCUUCCAGGUCAGUUAAAUCAAAAACAUGAUGUGCCUGUGGACCUCUAGGACCAGGGUUGCCUACCCCUAUCAUAGGGAAUGCUCCUGCCUCUACAAUGUGUUGUGUGUGUCUCUGGGUGUGUUUCUGGUAAACCCCUUCAGGUGAGAAAAAAAGGGACUGGCUGUCUGAUUGAUGAAGGAGUUGUGGUGAAGGAAGUCCCGUGGUGAAACACAUUGUGAUGACACACUUUCAGUUAGACUGGGAGUUAACCCCCUCAUUAGCCAUGAGAAUGCAACCCAUUGUAAAGACACACUGUUACAGAUAACAAAGGUCUAACCCUGUGAUUAAAGUGUUAACUAGCUAUACUGCCAUCCAGACGGGGGUCACUGGAGUUUUGACAGACACACAUGGAUGCCUGUGAGUCAGUAGCAAAGUUUAAGCAGUCAGUCAGUUUAAGACAGUUUUACAUUUCUUUGCUUUCCAGGCUCUAUACGGAUGGUAGAUGUCUAUAUUUGUCAAUUGAGGAAGAUGUUACCCUCAGCACACCACAGAACAGAAGAGUGGAAUUAAGCUGCUGCAACAGUGGUGGUAGCUGACAUGAUCCCAUCACAUCCUCAGGGCAAAGGUCAGACGGAGGUUCAGGUCAAGCGAGCAGGUUAAACAUCCUAAACACCUUGUCAGGGAUUAGAGGGGAUGAGAGAAGCUUGAGGAAGUCCUCAGUGAGUGAGAAAAUCACUGUCUGCGUUGGGUAAUGUUUCCUUUCACAGCUCACUGAACUGACUAACUUCAGUAGACACACACACACACACAUUUACUGUACACACACAAAGACGUGACAGACUGUUCCACAACAGAGCGCCGAGAUCCACACAUCACCGUCACACCCCAGUCCAUUACAUGAGAGAGGCUGAGGAAGGAGUGCAUGUCCCAUUGAGGCAUUAACGGCGGUCAGACAAACAUGUCCACAACAACCACAAACAGGAAAAGGAAAUCAGGUGCCGUGACCUUUUCAUUGACAUAACUGUCUAAAUAACGCUAAUUAAUUCUAACACCAUGGACUGCCUAGGUAGAAACAACUCUAAACAUAGAGUAGUUAAGCAUUCACCUGCUAUAAAAAAAUAAACGGUUAAUUCACCAACUUUGAUGCAAAGUAAAAAGCCUUCUUUUUCAAGUGUCUACAGUUUGAGGAGCACAUGUAUGCAUGCAUGACAUAAAUAUAGAGAACGUUUCUGAUGUUAUCGUUGUGUAGACCCUUGACAGGUAUGACAUCAGUGGUGUUUUAUACGAUCUACUGGACAUAAUCUGGGUGUACAGGACCUGUACCAGGUGGGCUGCAGUCUGCUGGGCUGAGUGGGUUGUCUAGGGACAGACAAGAGCGGGUCCGCGGGGCGAUGGCCUCCAGUUCAUCAAACACAUGGGACUGGCUAGAGCUGACCUGAGAACAGCGGGACGAGGAGGACACUGUCACCGUCAUCUGAAACAGCACAAGCAGGAUUGGCAUAUCACAUAGAGAAUAUACUACUGUACUGUGUUACGUGAUGCAAUAGAAAGAGAGGAUCCAUUCUGAGCAGAACCCCUAUUUAUUUAUUUACAGUGUUCCGACCAGCAUAAUAAAGUUCUGAAUCGGUUCGAUCCUCCUAAAAAAGUAAUGGUUUGUUCAUUUUUUAACCCUGUGAAAUCAACAUCAUUCUUUCAUUUAGUCCACCGAUAAGCGUGGAUAGAGCAGCUUGCUGUGGAACGUGUAAGCUAGUUGUUUACAUGUUUGAGGACAGAUAAGUGCAGGCGAGAGAUGUGACUGACGAGAGAUGUGACUGAAAUUUCACAGGGAGAGAGAGAGAGGAGUGGACGUGGAGGGGGCUUGGCUUGAAGUGCUGAGCACCAUGACAUGAUGUGAAUUGGAAUAUGUUUAACGUCACUGUAUUACAGAAUUACAGUAUAUACUAGACACUGGUUCUCAAGAUUUAAAAGUAACGGUUCUGUUCCGCAACACUAGAGAUCACUUUCUUUCCAGGUUCUGUUUCUGUUCCUCUAAAAAUAAAAUGGGUUUAUGCUGCUCCCUGAACCAGUUCCAACACCUGGUUGUAACUCAAUUAGUGCCAGACCGCCUGUCCCCUAAAGGCUUCAGAAACGGCUCGGUAUCAUACCCAUGCACACACAACAAACACACACUUCACUCAGACACCCAACAAACUCCCAUUCCUCCUUGCCCUGAGCCGGUGUCAUCAACCCUCCACCACCACCACCACAAUACCAGGACCUCCACGGGAGAGGAUGCCCCCCCAGGUGGAGUCUGUCAGCCUACACAGAGCCAGUCAGACCCUGGGGCUAUGGGAGAUGGUACUAUACACACAGGAGCAACGCUCUCCCUCUAAGCCCUCAUUACCACAUACCUCACUCACAGGACUGGCCAAACUGUCCGCCCUUAAAUCACUCAUUACUUGACUCUUCUCAAAACACACCUGUUUUCUUUGCCUUUUUUGUAGCGGUAACUGAAAAUAGUGUGCUGAGGGUUUCUGUCAUGAUGACAGCCUUAGAGAAUGAACUCUUCUUCUCUCAUGUGGACAUGUAAAAAAGAUAGCAGACAAACUAGUAAUAUAUACACAAGCAAAUAAAGAACACGCAAACUCAGCUCCUUUACGUCUGACUACACACACAAUUGUGCAUUCCAGUGCCUCGGCUCUCUACUCAGAGAGACAAUGGAGGGACUUGACUUGACACUUUAAAGCAUAUUGCUGCUGUCAAGUCAGCCGUCAUUCCGAGGAGUGCGACGGAGUCGGGAGGUGGUGUUUUGGGAAGGGGAGGUGGAUAGGGGGCGUAGGGGCAAGGCCAGGCAAGCCAGGAAGGAGUCAGCCCAGACAAGGCUCCUCUGUGUCUCCAUGUACCCCCCUGUCCCCCCACUCUGGCCACAUCGUGGGGCUGAAAGGCUGGGUGGUGUCCUGGGUCUGGGUGGUGGAGCGUCCGGGCCAGGGCAACACAAUAGGCCAGCGUCCCGCUCCAUCCCGCUC